rnacentral:rRNA from 1 species
CUGGCUCAGGAUGAACGCUAGCGACAGGCUUAACACAUGCAAGUCGAGGGGCAGCAUAAAAGUAGCAAUACUUGGUGGCGACCGGCGCACGGGUGAGUAACGCGUAUGCAACCUACCUAUCAGGAGGGGAAUAACCCGGCGAAAGUCGGACUAAUACCGCAUAAAACAGGGGCACCGCAUGGUGAUAUUUGUUAAAGAAAUUCGCUGAUAGAUGGGCAUGCGUUCCAUUAGGUAGUUGGCGAGGUAACGGCUCACCAAGCCGACGAUGGAUAGGGGAACUGAGAGGUUGGUCCCCCACACUGGUACUGAGACACGGACCAGACUCCUACGGGAGGCAGCAGUGAGGAAUAUUGGUCAAUGGGCGGGAGCCUGAACCAGCCAAGUCGCGUGAAGGAAGAAGGAUCUAUGGUUCGUAAACUUCUUUUGCAGGGGAAUAAAGUGCAGGACGUGUCCUGUUUUGUAUGUACCCUGAGAAUAAGGAUCGGCUAACUCCGUGCCAGCAGCCGC